UCAGAGCAUCACAUUGUCACUUCAAUAUGAAAUUGUUUACGAUAUUAGCAUCGAUACUGGCUUUGAUAGCUGUAGCUAUGGGUUCACCCAAUCCUCUGCCUGAACCUCAUGGAGGAGGCGGUGGUGGUGGUGGUGGUGGCGGUGGCAAGUAAAUCUUCGACCAUCCAUUUCAUCCCAUACCUUUCAACAAUCAAAAUGGCUUUGCAGGAACGAAAUAAUAAUUGACUCGCGAUGAUGAAAAAUAAAACUUUGAAAA